rnacentral:rRNA from 1 species
UACGGAGGGGGCUAGCGUUGUUCGGAAUUACUGGGCGUAAAGCGUGCGCAGGCGGUUUUGUAAGUCUGUCGUGAAAUCCCCGGGCUCAACCUGGGAAUUGCGAUGGAGACUGCAAGGCUAGAAUCUGGCAGAGGGGGGUAGAAUUCCACGUGUAGCAGUGAAAUGCGUAGAGAUGUGGAGGAACACCGAUGGCGAAGGCAGCCCCCUGGGUCAAGAUUGACGCUCAUGCACGAAAGGCGUGGGGAGCAAACAGGAUUACGAAACCCAG